UUUCGGCACCGGGGGUGCUUGCUUCGAGCAGGCUGAGAGAGUCCCUUAAAACCUGAUCAGGAUAAUACCUGCGAAGGGAGUGUGCCUAGUGGUUGUU
rnacentral:ncRNA from 2 species